CCAAUAGCGUAUAUUAAAGUUGUUGCAGUUAGAACGCUCGUAGUCGGAUUUCGGGGCGGGCCGACCGGUCUGCCGAUGGGUAUGCACUGGUCGGCGCGUCCUUCCUUCCGGAGACCGUCCCUACUCUUAACUGAGCGGGGGCGGGAGACGGGACUUUUACUUUGAAAAAAUCAGAGUGUUUCAAGCAGGCAGCUCGCUCUUGCAUGGAUUAGCAUGGGAUAAUGAAAUAGGACUUUGGUGCUAUUUUGUUGGUUUCGAACACCGAAGUAAUGAUGAGAAGGGACAGUCAGGGGCACUCGUAUUCCGCCGAGAGAGGUGAAAUUCUCAGACCAGCGGAAGACGAACCACUGCGAAAGCAUUUGCCAGGGAUGUUUUCACUGA
rnacentral:rRNA from 1 species